GCCGCGGUGGUGCAGUGGUUAGCAUUUCUGCCUAGUAAGCAAGAAGACAUGGGUUCAAGUCCCGACUGUGGCA